rnacentral:rRNA from 1 species
CGGGGGGAGCAAGCGUUGUUCGGAUUUACUGGGCGUAAAGGGCGCGUAGGCGGCCAGCGCAAGUCAGUUGUGAAAUCUCCGGGCUUAGCUCGGAAAGGUCAACUGAUACUGCGCGGCUAGAGUGCAGAAGGGGCAACUGGAAUUCUCGGUGUAGCGGUGAAAUGCGUAGAUAUCGAGAGGAACACCUGCGGCGAAGGCGGGUUGCUGGGCUGACACUGACGCUGAUGCGCGAAAGCCAGGGGAGCGAACGGGAUUAGAUACCCCGGUAGUCCUGGCCUUAAACGAUGGAUGCUUGGUGUCUGGAGUUUUAUAGUCUCCGGGUGCCGCAGCUAACGCGUUAAGCAUCCCGCCUGGGGAGUACGGUCGCAAGACUG